UGAUAGUUUGGUUCUGGUUACCUAGCUUGGGUACAAUUUGGUCUAUUAACACAUGGUAGUUUAGGCGCAGAAUGCGUAUGAGUUGGCUUUUCUACAAGGGGGGCCAGGGAGCCCCUUGAAGGAAGCUCACGACCUACAAUCAGAAAAAAUUCGAGGACUGUUAGUAAUUGAUCCAUACCUCCAGUGAAAAGGUCUCGGCAAUGUGCGGAAGCUCGACCGGGAUAUAAUUUAAUAGAGGAGUCCAACCAGGUGCCAGCAGUCGCGGUUAAACCUGAGUUACUCAAUUCAAGCGUUACAGUGCAAAAGGUGGUUAGACAGCCCUCCCUGUUAUUUAAGGGGUAAAUUAGGAAAAAAGAGGAUCGAUCCGGGAAGGGUAGGGGUGCAAUCCGGUUAACCCUCCUGAGGAAAGGGGUGAUUUCUUCUUUAGGCUGAGGCCACGGAACCGGGGAACCGAAGACAUGGAUUUGAGACCCAUUUAUUACCGACGCAAACUUUGCUUUAGGGCAGCUGCUUGGGGACUACGAGCGUGUGCUUAAAACUCAAAGAACUUGGCGGCAAGUUAACUACCUAGGGGAAUAUGCGUCUUAAUCCGAUGAUCCACGUGGAAUCUUACUGUACCUUGAAAAAGAGCAGCCGGUGUAUUGCCGUCGUCAGCUUGUUGUUCAAGCAAGGAGAAACAAGCUUAAUGGAGCUGGCGAUGUUAAUCGACAGGGUCCGUAAAGUCAGGUCGAAAUACUGCCUAUGGUACAAGGGAGCGGGUAUUACAAUUCAAAUUUCGAAAUACGGAGCUUGGAAGAAAUGUGAAACCUCCAGGUGAAGGUGGACUUAGGAGUAAGGGAAGAUUAAUAUGCUCCCCUGAACAUGAAACUAGCUUGUGUACAAACCGCCCGUCGCUCUCGCCGGAAGGUGAGAUAAGUCGUAACAAGGUAGGGGUACUGGAAGGUGCGCCCUGA
rnacentral:rRNA from 1 species